CACGUAGGGCGCAAGCGUUGUCCGGAAUUAUUGGGCGUAAAGAGCUCGUAGGCGGUCUGUCGCGUCGGCUGUGAAAACUCGGGGCUCAACCCCGAGCCUGCAGUCGAUACGGGCAGACUAGAGUGCGGUAGGGGAGACUGGAAUUCCUGGUGUAGCAGUGAAAUGCGCAGAUAUCGGGAAGAACACCCGUGGCGAAGGCGGCUCUCUGGGACGGUACUGACGCUGAGACGCGAAAGCGUGGGGAGCGAACAGG
rnacentral:rRNA from 1 species